CGCAGCGGCAGAGCCCCGGCCGCGGGGCUGGGGGUCCCUCCCUGUGCCCCGUGGUGUGGCGGAUCGGACGGCAGCUGCUCGAUCGGGGAAGCCUUGCCCACAGAGCUGCGCCGGGGGCAAGCCGCUGCCGCCCAAGUGGCAGCUUUGAGCUAUAUCCCACGCCUCUUUCCUGUGCCGGCACGGGAAAAAGCCUUCAGCCUGGUGACGCGGAGCCAGGGCGUCUGGUGCGGGUGACACACCGAGGCGGGAGCAGAAGCGGGCACUGACGGCCCACCUUCAGGCAACUAGCUCAAACAGCAGAGAGAUUUGGGCAAAGCUGGCGGGAAAGAGCUGACCUCAGAGAGGAUGUGACAGCAAGCUGAGCAGACAAGGGUGAAGUGAGGAAGGGCUGAUCUCUAAGCCAUGGGGCCUUGCUUUGCCUCACUCAGAGCUCCUAUUGACAGAAAAAGAAUUCAAUAUUAUUAAGGGCAGAUGAUCAACGGCAGUAUCUCCUGAUGCUUCAAUCCACCAACAAGAAUCUUGUGACAGAUGUUUCUGCGCGUUAUGCAAAUAGGAACUUCAUGGAUCAGUUUUCCUUUCCUCCAUGGAAUAUAUGCAGCUGGAAAAUAGAAACCCAGCUCCACGGCAUGUAGCGAAAAAAACAAAAAUCAUGCCACUGACCAAGCAGGCAGCUGAGAGAAAGCAAGCCGUAUAUGUGAAAUUGAAAUAAUUAUACUGCUGGUUCUUAGGAUCACUUCUGGCUGCCUUAAUAAAGCAGUGUAUGCAAUGAUAUAGGUUUUGUGGGUUUUCUCUGCAAUGACACUGUCGCUCACAAGUCAUUUCUGAAAGGGGAAAAAAAAAAAAAUCUUCCCCAGGUUGUGUAUAAUGUUUCUUCACAAAUCCUUUUGUUUUACCAUUUCUGAUACGCUGUUUUCAUUCUCCCAGUAGUUGUGGAUAGCUGUGUUAGAUAUAAUACGUAAGUGUAUUAAAAAUAGUGAAGUUGAGUUUGCACAUGAAGAAAAGAUUUCAGCUUCUUAUAUGUAAUAAAUAGGUUAUAGACAUUUAUAUAAACUAUAUGGCUUUAGUUAUAUUCUUUAUAAUAACACAGAAAGCUGGAUGUGUGAAAAUGAUUGACUUUGUGAAAAGACUAUGGAAAAUUUCCUUCCUAUUUAUUAAAAGAAAAAAAACAACUCUCAAACUUAGUGAAUUAGUGGAGGUUUAAAGGAAAUACGGUUUUACAAAUUAUUGUAUAAUAUAUAAAAGAACAUUUGUAUUUAGUAAUUUGUAUAAUAUCAUGCAACAAGGACGGGUUGUGGAAUCUCACUGAUUAUUACUCUAGAAAAUCACGAAAGGCGGUCAUCCUAAAUGCAAUUAUUUAAAAAAUGCUAUUCUUAUUACUAUUAUUAAAUAAAAUUAAUACUGUUAUUUGAGACUGAUUUGGCCUUCUAAUUUUUUAUAGUUCUUUUAAGGUUUCUGUGCAAGUAUUUUUUAUCAUCAGACGUCAGAACAAGUCUUAUGAAUUGUUAGUCAACAUGUCUGUACCUUAUUUUCUCAACGAGGUUUUUGUUAAUCUUGUUCAUUUUAGGUGUUUUAAAAUCUAUUGUGGGCCACAAUUUUUUUUUUUUUUUAAUAUUUUAAUUUAGAAUUUAAUUCAAAGCCUGUAUCUGGUACUGUGUAAACAUUCAGUCGGGAACUAUAAUAAAUUUUCUUUAUAUAUACAUGAAGCCUGGUUUUGUAUCAUGGUAUUGUGUAGAAUCUUGUCUCCAUUUCAUGACUAGUCAAAUGCUGGGAAGAGAUCUUCAUUCAA